AACGAACGCUGGCGGCAUGCCUAACACAUGCAAGUCGAACGAGACCUUCGGGUCUAGUGGCGCACGGGUGCGUAACGCGUGGGAACCUGCCCUUAGGUUCGGAAUAACUCCCCGAAAGGGGUGCUAAUACCGGUUAAUGUCUUCGGACCAAAGAUUUAUCGCCGUUGGAUGGGCCCGCGUUGGAUUAGCUAGUUGGUAGGGUAAAAGCCUACCAAGGCGACGAUCCAUAGCUGGUCUGAGAGGAUGAUCAGCCACACUGGGACUGAGACACGGCCCAGACUCCUACGGGAGGCAGCAGUGGGGAAUAUUGGACAAUGGGCGAAAGCCUGAUCCAGCAAUGCCGCGUGAGUGAUGAAGGCCUUAGGGUUGUAAAGCUCUUUUACCCGGGAUGAUAAUGACAGUACCGGGAGAAUAAGCUCCGGCUAACUCCGUG
rnacentral:rRNA from 1 species